AUAUAAAAUACCAGCCCGGUACAGGCGCUUCGCGCCUGCCCCAGGCUGGCCCUGCGGGGCUGACUCCUGACAGUCAAUAUAGCUGGAUACCCGCAGGUGUGGCGGCUGCGCCGCCCCCCCUGCUUGGUACCCAGCCAAAGGUGUCAAUUUUAACGCUUCGUGCCUGACGGUGGAUUUCUAUGCACGGCGUUUUGCU